rnacentral:lncRNA from 1 species
CUCAGGUAAGAUAUGCCACAGUAAGUUUUAUAGUUUUCAGAUAAAUAAUUUCAUCUUGCAGAUAAUGACUUUCCUUUGAGACAUGCUGCUUUUUCACUUGGUUUCAGACUUACACCCUCAGUGAUGCUAACGGAAAAAUGAAGUUACUGAGACAUGUUUGUAAUGUCUAUGGAGUCCACUGGUUACAGGAAUAAAUAAAAAAUACAGCUUUACCAUUAUCCCAGUGCUUGAUUAAAAGCAGUGAUAAGCAUGUCAUUGUGAAUGAUUAAAAAAGUAGGAAAAAGUGUUUCUGAUACAUACCUUUUUAGAACUGUGCAUUCAGUUUUGAAUAUGAUAUUCCUAAAAUUAUGGAUAUUUGAGGAAAAAGCCAAACCAUAGAUUGCAACUGAGUAUAAAUUGAACCUAACUUUAUGCUUUUACAACUAAGAUGAGAGAGCAGAGGAAUGCUGAUGCAUUAGUUAACAUUGUAGUGACAUAAAAUGGACAUAAUAGUCUUGCUUUUCUCUACAGGAACACUAUGCUCAUUUUAAUUAUAAACCAGUCAGAUAAACAUGUUAUAACAAGUUGUCCUGUGACCACUAAGAUGAAAAAGGGCUAUUCUCUGUUUCACGUAGUGUUUUCAGCACCCUCAUUUGUCUUCCAUGUUGUCAACAUGCCCUCUUGCACGUUGCCCUGUUUUAUCAGGCAAAUGGGAGCAUGUGGCUUAGCUGCUUCAGGGCUGUAUAUGUGCUGACUAGCUAGUCAGCGUGUACAAGCUUAAGUAGCCAGCAGGCUUUGAAAGUGAUCAAGGGACAGACUUAGAAAGGUCUUCAUCUGCGAGGAGACACUAGUUUGGGUCCUUUCUACUCUGCCAACAAUUUUCAUAAUAUGGAAUUGAUUAUCUUUCUUAUUUUAUUUUCUGGUUCAAUUUGGUAGAAAUCAAUGAAGAGGUUCAAAGGCUAAUGAGAAGAGGAUGGGAAAAGAAGCUGACAGAUGGAUGGACAGACAACGUGACUGUGAUGAAAAUGACAUUUCUUUGUAUGAUGCGUCAUCCCCACAGUACCAUCUUCUGCUUGAUGAAGUGUGUGAGCCAUAGCACUGCAAGCCUGAUUUGGAAAAAAGGUAAGUGUAUCUGCUGUAGAGUGUAUCAAAACAGAGUCCAGUUUAUUCUCUUGGGAAUGAGCUGGCUAGUUUGUGGUCACUGACAGAAAUAAGCAGUUGUUAGUAUACCAAUACCUUCAUACCAUAUCUGCUGUGGAUAAUCAUCUCUUGUGAUGUGCAUUUUCAUGCUCAUUUGUGUCAGGUGAAAGUCAAGUGCACUGACUGAGAACAAGGAGCACAUCUGUUCAACAGAAAGUUACUAUUUUUACAUUUUCCAGGCUAGAACUGCACUUUAUAAUAUUAAUGUCCCCUCUUCUCUUCCUAUCGCAUUUGGAAAGAUAAUAGAAAACUGCAUUUCCAAAGACUAAAGAGUGUAGAAUGCUCUAGAGUUUCAGUCUCAUUCCGUUGGAUUGAUUUUACCAUAACUCUUUUCAAAAAUAAGCAUUUUCAUGAUAGCUGAGUGCAUUGAAGCCUAAUGGGUUUAAUUUAUGUGCAGCUGGGCUGUAACAAUACUCUGUGAGCCAUUACAGCUGUGCCUCUCAACUGAAUGGCUUUGUACAAACCUCUAGUUAGCGAUUAAGCUCCACACAGUAGCUUAACCUGGAGAAAUUCACAGUGUUUUACGAGCAACUUCUGUGCUAAAUGGCAGCAACUCCUCUUUGGAGGCAAAGCUAUUUGCCCACAAAAUGGGUUCGUGAGCAGGUCUGUUAUUAUGCAGAAAAAAACAUGCAUGAUGGACUGUAGUUGCAUCUGAUAGACUGCCAUGGUGUUCCAAUUGCCAUUUCACUAGAUUGUGGAUGUUCUGAUUGUCAAGUGAAUUUUGGCUGUACUAAAAAAUCGGGCUAAUAUGGGCUUGGCCCACACAGUUUGAUGAUGAUGCCCUGACCCAAAUAGUUUUUCCUUUAAAGGCAAACAUUGCUACAGGUGAAGGACUAAUGGAUGAUGGUAAUUUGUACGGUCUCAUUUGGCUUGGCAGUCACAGAAGAUUCCAGUAGCAAAAAUAAAGGCAUUUAGAAUGGAUUAAUUCUAGAGAAA